CUCUGGGUUUAGAAACGGAUUAUAUUGCAAUGUCUUGACCCCAUACGGUACUACCUUUUUGAUUAUAGCAUCAAAUUCGUGAAAACCUGGUCAUAUAAGAUAUAUAAAAUUGUUUGUGUAUUGAUUUGCUCAUACUUGAUUCCUGUUAUCAAAAUAUGUUGACGGUCAAAAGUAAAACACAUCGCCGAAAUGUUGAAUUAGCAACAACUCCUACAGUUAGCCUGCUCAAGUUGACUCGACUCACUCAACGGUUGUGUUUAUUUUUUAUUUUGAACUUUAUUUUGCCAGACAGUACUUUCUCAAAAUGCAAAAUAUAUAGUUUUUGUAGACUCUCGACGUGACGUAUACAGAUAGUGAGAGUUGUGGUUCGUGUUUGUAGUUCUGUCGUUAGUAAUGAGACAGUUGUAACUUUUUCGCCUUCGCACUUGGAAAGUGAAUUCACUCUGAAACACGUACAUUUUAAUGAGCGGGUUUUCAUGACUUCGAUAAAGCAAUUUUAAGGUUCAUUCUUUGCCAACAAAACUAGGAGCAAAGAAGCGUCACUUUCAUACCGUAGCCACACCGUGGACAUUAAUUGUCAUGUCACUACAUUGACUGUGUCUGUCUUGGUUUGGAGACCGUCUUAGAAUUUAAACAAAUGUGGUGCUUUCUGGUCUGCCUGACAAAGUCCACUGGUCAUUUGAGUGGAAGAUUCCCAAAGCAUAUCCACAGCCAAAGAGCUGCAUCUACGGUUACUUUCUCUUACAUCAAUGGGGCUGUGCUCCGUGCCAUCCAGGACCUCUAUAUCAGGUUGUGUGAAAGGAAGGCCCGGAAAAUCGUUUGACUCCAGUCACCCAAGCCAUAGAACGGCAAGUGGUACCGGUGCCUCAAGUCGGACACCAACAGGUUCCUGAACAGCUUCUAUCCCCAAGCCAUAAGACUGCUAAAUAGCUAACAAAAUGUCUACACAGACUAUCUGAGUUGACCCUUGUAUUGUAUAUUUUUUGCACUGUCUUUAUGCACACUCCCAGGAUUCUACACACUCACGCACACUGACACACACAUAACCUACACACACAUUUAUACUGAAUACACAUAUAUAUAAACAUCCUAUAUGCUGCUGCUACUGUCAUAUAUCCUGAUGCCUAGUCACCUUAUCUUAUGUCAUUAUAAAUAACAAUGUUCUUAACUGACUUGCCUAGUUAAAUAAAAGUUAAAUUAAAUGACCCCUAUACAUUUCUACAGUGCCUUCAGAAAGUAUUCACACCUCUUGACUUUUUUCACAUUUUGUUGUGUUACACCCUGAAUUUAAAAUAGUUUAAAUUGAGAAUUUGUGUCACUGGUCUACACACAAUAACCCAUAAUGUCAUGGAAUUAUGUUUUCAUAAAUGUUUACAAAUGAAUGAAAAUUUAUAAACGGAAAUGUCUUGAAUAAAUAAGAAUGCAACCCUUUUCUUAUGGCAAACCUAAAUAAUUUCAGGGGUAGAAUAUUUCUUAAGCCAUAUAAGUUGCAUGGACUCACUCUGUGUGCAAUAAUAGUGAUUUCUGAAUGACUACCUCAGGAAACUGCUCAGGGAUUUCAUUGUGAAGCCAAUGGUGACUUUAAAACAGUUACAGAGUUUAAUGUCUGUGAUAAUAGUAACUAUAGUUACUACUGUAGUUACUCCACAAUAUUAACCUAAAUGACAGUGAAAAGAAGGAAGCCUGUACGGAAUAAUACUAUUCCAAAACGUACAUCAUUUUUUCACUAAAGUAAAACUGUAAAAAAUGUGGCAAGGAAAUUAACUUUAUGUGCUGAAUACAAAGCGUAGUGUUUGGAGCAAAUCUAACAGCAGGACAAUAACCUAAAACACAAGGCCAAAUAUACUCUGGAGUUGCUUACCAAGAUGACAUUGAAUGUUCCUGAGUGGCCUGGUACAGUUUUGAUUCAAAUAUGCUUGAAAAUGUAUGGCAAGACUUGAAAAUGGCUGUCUAGCAAUGAUCAACAACUAACUUGACAGAGCUUGAAUAAUUGUAAAAAAUAAUAAUAUGCAAAUAUUGUACAAUCUUGGUGUGCGAUGCUCUUAGAGACUUACCCAUAAAGUCUAAUUGUUGCCAAAGGUGAUUCUAACAUCUAUUGAGUCUGGUGGGAAUACAAAUGGUUUCACUUCGUCAUUAUAGAGUAUUGUGUGCAGAUAGAUGAGUUGAAAGAAAAUAAUGAAUUUAAUCAAAUUUGAAUUCAGGCUGUAACACAACAAAAUGUGGAAUAAGUCAUGGGGUAUGUAUGAAUACAUUCUGAAGGCACUGUACCUCUACCACUCCAGUAUCUCUGCACAUUGUAAAUAUUGUAUUGGAACUGACCCUGUAAAUAUCUUACUUACUUCCCCAUGUUCUUCUUAUUUUUUGUGUUUUUGUUCUACCUUAUGUUAUUUUUUAGUAAUAAUGAUUACUACAUUGUUGGGUUUAGAGCUAGCAAGAAAGGCAUUUGAUUGUACUUGUGCA
ensembl:lncRNA